GCCACAUAAAGGAAGAGCAGUGACUCUCGAGAGCUGGCAUCCCAGGGUGACUUCACCAUGGGCUGUCAUCGCUGAGGCCAUAAAAAGCCAAAAGCACUACCCUUGAGUCAUCCUAGCCCCUUGGAGCCAAAAACGUAGCAACGUCACGUCUGUAGUUGACCUCGGUUCCGGGCACCUUCCUGAGCAUUCUUCGGGAGGCACUUGUGAAACUCAGCCCAGGUGCUGCCCAGGAUCAGGAGGCUGAGACGUGAUCUGGAAGUGAGUGCCCAUCCAUACACCUUCCCCAGCUUUGGGGCCACAGAGGGACAGAAACCGCAGGCAGGCUGGCCUGGGAAUGAACCUACACCAGCCUGAAGUCAGAAGAGCCUCUAGGAGCCUCCAGCCUGGACUCUUUUUACAGAUGGGGAAACUGAGUCCCAGAGAGGGAGCAAUGAAGGAUGUCUAAGGUCAUCAGCAACGUAAAGCCAACAGCAUCAUCCUGAGUCAUGUUUGAACCUGAGGGAAAGAAACAUAUGUUCGAAGAGGUUCUGAGGCUGCUGCACCCGAUAUCAUACCUGGUUGGCCCUGGGAAAGGGCCCACCUCCAAUACAUAAACACAACCAGCUUUGACAGUGAGCCCUGAAGCAUGGCAUUGAGAAGCUGCCUAAGAAGGAGGCAGAUCCAUCAGCCUGGGUGCCCGACUGAUUACCCUGAGCAGAGCUCCCCAGCCCACCUGUGAUGGACGCAUGGAGCUUGAGCAAGGAAUAAAUAUUCGUUGCUGGAGCCCAGCUGGGACAAUGUGUGAAUCAACGCAUGAAGGAGUGAGUGAGCAGCUAACCAAAUGAAAGAAUACUCAGAUAUCUGGGGUACAGUUCCCCUCCAGGUUUGCACAGCAUCUGCUGAAGUCUCCACUAGAAACUCAAUGGAAGGUCCCCACCGGAAACUGAAAGUCUCCUAGAGUGGCUUUGAGUUGCGGUUUCACCCUCCCUGCAGAUCCACAGGGGAGGCUGGGGCAGAUGGAAAAUACCAACUUGAUGGUCUGUGGCCACACCAUGCUGCUCCCCAAGGCCCCUCAGAAUUUCACUGCCCAAUAUGGUAGCGCCCAGCCUGAAACGUGGCCAGUGUGAAUUGAGAUGGGCUGGAAAUGCACCAGACUUCCAAGAGCUGGACAAAAACCAUAUACUUUCCAUCCAGCUGUUUGGCAUUGGAUACUGCUGCCUCUGCUUGACUUGAGAAUGUGUGAGAAAAGCUGUGUUUAGACAACUGAAAACCAUGAGCUUGAAAGUAGUGGGGGCACACUCUUGGAGACUCCAGUUGCUCACCAGCUUGGACAAACCACUGGACUCAAAUGAUCAGGUAGAAAUUCAUCACUGGAGAGAACACAGUGGAAUGGCUUCAGCGAAAACUCACUCUGAAGGUCUUCAGGGCAACUUUAAGACUUGCCCCUGGCCGGGCACAGUGGCUUAUGCCUAUAAUCCCAGCACUUUGGGAGGCCGAGGCGGGUGGAUCACCUGAGGUCAGGAGUUCAAGACCAGCCUGGCCAAUAUGGCGAAACCCUGUCUCUACUAAAAAUCCAAAAAAUUAGCCGGGCGUGGUCGUGGGCGCCUGUAAUCCCAGCAACUCGAGAGGCUGAGGCAGGAGAAUUGCCUGAACCCGGGAGGCAGAGUUUGAAGACAGCCGAGAUUGCACCACUGGGCAACAAGAGCAAAACUCCAUCUCAAAAAAAAAAAAAAAAAAAAAAAUACUUGCCCCGGCUUUUUGUGUGAUGGACUUUCUAUUUACAGACGUGAUAUUUAUCUAUGACUUUACUCAGAGUCUGGCUCAUAGACCAGAAGGACUGGUAUCUCCUGGAGCUUGCAGGAAAUGCAAAAUCUCAAACCCCUGUAUUAGUCAGGGUUCUCCAGAGAAGUAGAGCCAAUGGGAUAGAGACAGGGAUAGGGAUGAUAGAGAUGGAGAUAGAGGUAGAGAUCCAUUGAUUCCUCUGUUAAUAAAUUGGCUCAUGCAGUUGUGACAAUUUCGAAAUCUGCAAGGUAUGUCAGCAAGCUGGAGACCCAGGGAACAGUUGAUGUUGCACCUUGAGUACAAAGGCAGUGUGUCUGGAGCCAUAAUAUCUUCUUGUUAGGAAGACUUUGGUCUUUUCUCUUCUGGCCUUCAACUGCUUGGAGAAGGAACACAGGCUCAGACAUCAGUGCCAUAUCUGAAGACAUUCAGCUAAUAACAGGAUGGAGUCCAAUCUGAAACAACUGUCACGCUGAGCCUAAUUGCUGAAGAUGGUUGAAGGCACCAGGAGGCUGGAGUUUCCUGGAGGUGGUUUGUGGCCAACCGUCAAUUACUUGGGCUGCUGUGCAGUGGGGAUAGAAGGAUGAUUAGAAUCCACAGACAACCCAUUGGCCUUUGUUUACCAUUAACUUCUGUUUUCUCCACCAGCCAAGCUCCUCCAGACCCAGGAGAUGGCUCUUCCCUCUGUGUAGCACACUCUUUCCAGUCAAGGGGUCUUGCACUGCUAUUUCCCCUUCUGCUUUGCUUGGUUCAUUCUUACUGACCCUCCAAAUACUGAAGGAAUGAAUGGAGAAAUAAGUAAAUGAGAGAUGUGGCCAAGAGUCUCCAAGAGAGGAAAUUAAAAAAUCCUAUACCUGUGAGGAACUGGCCCACUUGCAAAAGGCGGACUCAUUUGUCACUGUGUUUGCUGGCUGCUCGCACCACACAGUUUCCAGCCUAGGCAUUAUUUCCAACCUCUUUUUCCAAAGGGUCUUUCUAAGGUACAGAAAAUGGACAUAAAAUCGCCCAACGUAGUUGAGAGGUAAGGAGUAAAAGCCGGAAUUUGAACUCCUAAUCUCCUGCCACGAUUUCAUGCUGCCUCUGGGUAAUCUCCCAGCACGUUGCUUAAUCAGCUGCUGAGUCAUUGAGAGCCGGCAGAACCAGCUUCCUGCUGAGGCAGAGUGGGAGGAGGCCCGUCUGGGAGCAGCACACUGAAGGAAGGGAGGAGGAGGUGAUGUUUGGCACAAUCGGAUUGGUUCCCAUGAGGUCCAGGGCUGCGGCUCCUACAGAAGGCACUUUUUGCAUAUGGUAGGCUUCACGGGGUGCAACCUCUGUGUUGUUAGGAGAACCUCGUGCUUGCUAUGAUGCUCUGCUGUCAUUAUCUUGAAAUUCUUAGUCACAUUAAAACACGGGAGCCUACAUGUUUAUUUUGCACUGGAUCCUGCAAAUUAGCCAGUCCUGGUACUGAGGGCAGGUCCCUGGGUGAGUCUCACACAGCCUCCAUCCUUUGGUAAAGCAGCUUUCCUGAUUUAGCAAAUGCCUUACCAGAAAGCCUUUUCCUUGAAGAUGCUUUAACUUUUGUCUUCCCUGGCAAAGCUGUUUCCUUAUGGUAAAGCACCCAGCUCAUAGCUGAUAUUCAAUCCAUGAAGUAGCUCUGUCAGCAGCUGUCAUCAUGAAGACUUUGCAGCCUGCGGGUGGUAGCAUUCUGAAUCGUCAGUCUGUCUCGCUCCUGUAGCAAAUGCACGAUCCGGGAAAGCAUGUCCCAAGCUUUGUUCUGGAGAAGAUUUCUCCAGCUAUCAGAUGGUGUCUGUCAUCACAAUAGCUUAGGAGAUGCUGCUCACUCCAUCCUCCUCACUAAGUGUCACAGUACACUUGGGUAUGUACAAGUCUCUGAGAAGUCCAGCAGCAAAGACACCUUUGUGUUUUGCUGAUUCUAGCCUUUCCUAGACUAGAAGUCUUUUUUUCUAGUCUAGGAAAAGACUGUGGAAUCUUUUCUUUUUUUUCCUGAUACACACAUUCACAUUCCGUGGAACAUUUAGGACGUGGUUAUCUGGUCCUAAAGUAGUAAAGGUGAAGAUGUUGUGGGAGGUGCAAGAAAGAGCAGCAAGGAGUAGAUGGGGCACACUGCAAAGUGCGAUCCCCACAUACCUAAGUUAGUAUCAAUUACUACUAACAAAACUCGGCCAAGACUCUUUUGCAUUCGUUUUGUUUCUCUCUUUUACCCUGAUUAUAUUAAGAAAUAUGACAGGCCUGUGACUCACUGAUUAGACCAUCUUAGUCACUUUGGGUUGUCCCAGCAACAGGAGACUUAACUCUGACCAUAGGUAAGGAGCCCAGAGGACAGGAGAGCAGGGAUUUCUGAGGAUUUAACAAAUGCUUAUAAACAAAUGAUAUCACUUUGAACAAAGUAAUCAAAGUAUCAAAUGCUAUAAACACCACAGUAGGGCAAUGUGUGAAUCAUACUUGUGGUGAGACAUACAUAGAUCAGCUGCAAAGAGGAACUCAAUUCUGCAGAACCUCAGCUGGAGUAACUGAUGUGAAACAUGGACAGGGAAAUGGAAGGAAGUCAGCGGACACGGAAACUCUAGGAACUGAACUUUGACAAGGAACGCCGUCCAUAAUCCCAAGUCCUAUGACUUCAUAGAGGAAAAAAACCCUAGUGGAGCAGAACAGGGCCUCAUAGAGGGGCUGGGGCCUCACUGAGGGCUGGGAAGUUUGAUAGGACUUCCCUUGCUGGUAAGGAACAAAACUGGGUCUCAGGUUCAGGUUUGUAAAGCUAAUUUCAUACAUUUGCAGCAGAUGCUGUCAGUGUCCCUCCCCAAGCCCCUCAGCACUCAGCAUUCAUAGACAUCCUCAUCUUGCAAGCACCUGAGUCUCUCUCUGUAAGGUUUCUGUUGGCCUCAGGGCAGACCAGGGUACCAGGGAGGGCAGACCAGGGUACCAGGGAGCACAGCCCUCAAAGAAAGAUGACAGGAGUUGGUGUAAAUCUCAUGGCUUUCAUGUUACUUAGGGGGACCAAUGCUGAGGCAUGCUUAGCAUGAUCCUCUGUGAGACUGGGCCUCAGGUGUCCGCUGCAGCCGCCUGUUCAUUAGUGUGACAUGCACGGGAUUCCUUCCGUAUCCUGGCCCCUUUCUCUACUUCCCAACCGUGCUUCCUGAGACAUACUCAAAUCCUUGUCUCACACUUGGCUUCUGGGAGAAUCCAACUGCAAAUGCUGUGUUUUAUUUUUUAUUUAUGUAUUUAAUUAUUUGGAGAUAGGGUCUCCCUCUGUCACCCAGGCUGGAGUAAAAUGGCACAAUCCUAGCUCACUGCAAUAUUAAACUCCUGGGCUCCAGUAAUCCUCAGCCUCCAGGAGCUGGAACUACAGUCGUGCACAGCAAUGCCAGCUAAAGUUUCCUUUAAAUUUUUUGUAGAGUCAAGAUCUCACUAUUUCAGUCAGGUCUUGAACUCCUUGCCUCCCAAAGUUCUGGGAUUACAGCACUUGGCCUCCCAAAGUGCUGGGAUUACAGGCGUGAGCCACUGCAUCUGGCUGUUUAUUCCAUUAAAAUGAUUGAAGGAGUCUCUUGCUUUGGGAAUUUUGCUCCCGUGGUGAGAACACUAUGGGAAUGACAUCUCAAGAAUAUGGCUCCUUCAAAUGAAUUUAAAAUGGUCUUUCUAUUUUUGUCCAGUGGUUACAAUAGCUGAUGGGCUCGAGGUAAGGAGAUGCUAAGCUGCCAUUCUCUCCUUCAACCCAUGGCAUUUACUGAGCUUCUAAAUCAGUCAGGCCCUGGGCUGGACCCUGGGCAUGCAGACUGAAUCAGAGCCUUCAGGACUAGCAGGAGAGACAGGUAUAUAUAGUGGCAAGGGCAAUAUUUAUUCACUCAUUCAUUCUUUUUCCUUUUUUAUGUGCCAAAUCUUUAAUGAGGGCCUACCUUGUACUCAGGAACACCAGGAAUAAACAGAAAACAAAAAGAUAUCAUUUCUGGACUCAGUUCACCAUCUAGAGAAAAAAAAAAAAAAAAAAAAAGACCUGAAAUGGACAAAUACAGUACUGUUUGACAAAUGUCACGUAAGAAGAAGCCCAUGAUACUGAGGAUGGUAUAGGAGGGGCCGUAUCCAGGUUGAAGGAGUCAAAUAUGACAGCUGCCGUGAGAAUUACAAUCAGAAAACCAUGACCCGGAUGCUUAUCCUAUUCAUUGCUUGAGCCUGAGAACACAAACACACAGGGUGUGGCUGAAAUUCCUCUGAAAUUGUAUUGAUUUGAGAAAACUGCAAUCUUGUGUUAAAAUGUGAAUCAUACACAAGGAUGCAAAACAGUUACCGCUGACCAUAAAUCUAGGCUAUCAGAAUGGAAUCUGAUGGCUUGUCUACCAGACUGCAUUGUGAAACCAAUCAAAUGGGAGAUAGACUCACCACUUACCAAGUACCUCUGAGACACCAGGCACCCUGUGGGGUGCCCUACUCAUCAUCUUGUUUAACCAGUUGAUUGGGAAUAGCUCCAUUUUACAGAGAAAGACUGUUAGGCAGCUUUCUAAGAUGGCCCUAAUUAUUCCUUCCUUCUGGUAAUCCCCUUCCUUUAAAUGUGGGCUACACUUAAUUACCUGCUUUUAACAAACAGAAUAUAGCAAAAGUGAUGGGAUGUCAGGAGACUGAAUCAGUAACCAAAAACCUCCAGACAAAGAAAAGCCCAGGGCCAGAGGGCUUCACUGGUAAAUUUACCAAACAUUUAAAGAAGAAUUAGCACCAGUCUUUCUCAAACUCCUCAACAAAUUGAAGAGGAGAGAACACUUCUAAAUACACUUUAUGAGGCCAGCAUUACCCUAACAUCAGAGCCAGACAAAGACACAAGAAAAGAAAACUACAGACUAAUAUUUCUAAUGAAUCUUGAUGCACAAAUCCUCAAAAAAGAAGAAAACAUACUAGCAAACAUAAUUCAGCCGCACAUUAAAAGGAUUAAGCACCAUGACAAAGUGGGAUUUAUUCUUAGUAUAAAAGGAUAUUUCAACGUAAAAAAGUCAAUGUAAUAUAUCACAUUAAUAGAAUGAUGAGAAAAAAUCCACAAGAUUAUCCCAAUUGAUGCAUUUAACAAAACUUAAUACUCUUUCAUGAAAAAACACUCAACAAACCAGGAAUACAUGAAACUACCCCAACAUAAGACAGUCCACAAAUGAAAAGCUCACAACCAACAUAAUACUCAUGGUGAAAAGCUGAAAGCUUCCUCUAAGAUCAGGAAUGAGACAAAAAUGUCCACUUUUGAAUCAACCUGUAUUCAACAUAGUAUAAGAAGUCCUCGCCAGAAUUUUCAGGAAAAAAAAAAAAGAAAGAAAAAAAAGCCAGUCAAAUUGAAAAGAAAGAAGAAAAAUUAUCUUUGCUCACAAAUGACAUGAACUUAUAAAACUCCUAGAAUUAAUAAAUGGAUGCUGCAAUGUUGAAGGAUACAAAAAUCAACACACAAAAAUCAGUUAUGUUUUUAUAUACUAACAAUGAAUGAGCCAAAAAUGAAAUUAAAACAAUUCCAUUUACAAUAGCAUCAGAAAGACUAAAAUACCUAACAAUAAACUUAACCAAGGAGGUAAAAUGCUUGAGUAUUUAGACACUAAAAAUUAUAAGGCCUGCACGGUGGUUCAUACCUGUAAUCCCAGCAUUUUGGGAGGCAGGUGGAUCACUUGAGGUUAGGAGUUUGAGACCAGCCUGGCC
rnacentral:lncRNA from 10 species